GAUCUCAGCAGCACAGUUCCUCUGGUUUGCAGCCGGGAGAGUGUCUGUCUCUUUCUGUCUCUGACAUUUCCUCCCUUCACUCAGGACCCUCUCUCUGCUCAUCUCUUAUCAGUGACCUUAUCACAGCUUUGCUCAGCCUCCUUCCUCUGGGAGGUGCUGGAAAAGCCAGCAAAGGGAAUUCUCCAGGAGGAUAAUGACCAAGAGUCCAGCUUGCAGUCAUUUUAUAUAACUGACUUUCAUUUGUCUUCAAAAAAAAAUACAGUGGAGUACAGCUUCAGCUCAGGGCGUCCCCUUUGCUGUUUAGGUGCUAGAAGAUGAGGGGGCAUCAGGUGGUCCCGCUCUGUGUCCUCCUGGGCGUCCUGUUUGCAGGACUCCUCCCCAACCUUGAGGCUCAGGAAGCACAAGAUUCAGCUGACCUAAUACUCUUAAUUGAUGGAUCAGAGAACGUUGGAGCGGCAAACUUCCCCUAUGUGCGUGAUUUGGCUUUGAGAAUCAUUGAGCGCCUUGAUGUGGGCAGGGACACUAUUCGGGUUGCUUUGGUCCUGUACAGCGUCGACCCAGAUAUAAGUUCUAUCUAAAUAGUUUAUGACAGCAAGUAUCAGUCGUGGAAGCGGUUGAAGGGCCUUGCCUACUCAGGGGGGGUGAUGAGUCUAACUUGGGGGCCGCCCUGGAGGAAGUGGCCGGAGAGCCUUUUGAAGCCAAUCAGCUGGGGGCAGGGCAGACGAGAGUGUUGCCCCAGAUGUUGAUAGUUAUCAGUGCUGGGCCAUCCACAGAUGAUAUGGUGCCGGGGACCGGGCCCUUAAGAGGGCCGGUGUAUCACAUUCGGCGCUUCGGUUGGGGACACGCUUCUGCUGAUCUGGAAACAGUUGGCUACAGAUAAGAUUUUGUCCUGUCAGCCCCUGAUUUCAGAGCAGUGGCCAGCAUGGGUGACCAGCUGCUCCCGUACGUUAACGGGGUGGUCCAGCGCACCAUUAUAGUUCAGAAUUGAGUUCACAGAAGUUUUGGCAGUUGGAAAAAGAGACAUCAUUUUCCUAAUCGAUAGUACAAUGGGUGCAACGAUCAUCAAUUCUGUGCGUGAAUUCAUCAAGCGGUUUGUGGAAAUCAUGCCGAUUGGCCAAGACCAAGUUCAAGUGGGUGUGGCCCAGUUCGGUAAUGCCCCUCGAACUUGAGAUAGAUCUCAACUCCUAUGGAUCCAGGGAGGAAUUAACUGCGGCUUUGAGCUCUAUCAAACCAAGACCUGGACAGACCGUUAACAUUGGAGCAGCCUUGGACUUUGUGCGGACAAAUAUGCUGCGGCCUGAGAAGGGCAGUCGUAUGAACCAGGGGAUACCCCAGGUUUUAUGCUGAUGACCAGUAAAAAGUCCAGUGACAGUGUGGAAAGCACCAGCUUUAGCCCUGCAGAGACUGGGCGUGUUGACUCUAGCUGCAGGCUCCAAAACGGCAGAGGUGCCGGAGCUUGCAGCAGAUAGCCUUUUGCUGACAGCGUUGCAUUCUAUAUGAGGGACUUCCGGCAAUUGAUUCGCAACCCAAAGGCCAUAGUUGAUGCGCUCUCCACUCUAGCUGGGUGGUGGUGACUGAACAACCCACAGAGCCAGUGGUGGAGAUAACAACAGUGCACACUCAAAUAGCUGGUCAGAGACCAUUGUCUUCCUUGUGGAUGGUCUCAACCUACAUUGGCAGCAGUAACUUUCCUUUCAUGAGAGACUUCAUUAUCAACGUGGUCAACCAGCUGGAGUAGGUCAUGAAAGAGGUCCAGAUUGGUCCUCCUGCAGUUUGCUGACCAUCCAAAAAUUGAAUUUUUACUCUGAACAGUCACAGCAACAGGCAAGAUGUUGCUGGAUAAAAUCUCUCAACUCAGUCUCUCCGGAGGCUCAGUUCUGAAUACAGGAGCUGCUAUGGAAUUAUGCCCUUGACAACAUGUUCAGGGUAUCAACUGGCUUCACGCAGGAGGCAGGGAGUCCAGCAGGUGUUGGUUCUGAUCACCGGUGGGUCCAGCCCAGGAUCAGGUCAAAUCUGUAGCCGAUAAAUUGGCUUUGGCUGGUGUUUUGACCUUCACAGUCAGCUCUGGGCAAGCAGAUGAAGCGCUAAUGAGGAAUGUUGCCUUUGUUCCAGAUUUGGCUUACCAUGAAACAGCUUCUCUAGUUUACCAGCUCUAGCUGAAUCAUCAUGUCAAAGUUGAUAACAGUGGUUGGCGAUACAGAUACAGUGACAUCCGUAUUCCCUGAUGAAC